UCGAAUGUUAUCACUCGAUUGAAUGGGCGUUAUCAGUGGUUAUCAGCUCAUAUAUAUGGGCCAGUAGGGGCCUGCUGCGCCUACUGGUAGGCUCAGAAGGCUGUUAUCAUCCAUCCACAUGGUUAAUCACCGACAAAUACAAGAGAAGACUCCAGAUCCAAUACCAGAGGAAUCCAGCUCGCCGGUAAUCGGAGGUCUACUGAAUGACGCAGCAACGUUGCAAUAUUUCGCGCUUGAUAUUUUCAGCAUCAAUUUCCAGUGGAUUGAAGGACUUCUGUGGUUGAAGAUGGCCCAGAGAGGUAAGCCUUGCAGUUGCUAAUCUAGAAGCAUUAGGCAAGUGUGUCUGAGAACGAUGGUAUGAUCUGCAACACUGUCUUUUUUUAUUACUGAUUUAUAACUGACUAGAUUUUUCUUUCUUUGUUGUUAUUCAACAAGA